rnacentral:rRNA from 1 species
AUUGAACGCUGGCGGCAGGCCUAACACAUGCAAGUCGAACGAGUGGCGGACGGGUGAGUAAUGUCUGGGAACCUGCCUGAUGGAGGGGGAUAACUACUGGAAACGGUAGCUAAUACCGCAUACCAUCAGAUGUGCCCAGAUGGGAUUAGCUAGUUGGUGGGGUAACGGCUCACCAAGGCGACGGUCCCUAGCUGGUCUGAGAGGAUGACCAGCUACACUGGAACUGAGACAGGGUCCAGAGUCCUACGGGAGGCAGCAGUGGGGAAUAUUGCACAAUGGGCGCAAGCCUGAUGCAGCCAGGCCGAGUGUAUGAAGAAGGCCUUCGGGUUGUAAAGUACGUUCAGCGGGGAGGCGUUACCCGUAGAAGAAGCACCGGCUAACUCCGUGCCAGCAGCCGCGGUAAUUC